rnacentral:rRNA from 1 species
CACGUGGGCAACCUGCCUCAUAGAGGGGAAUAGCCUUCCGAAAGGAAGAUUAAUACCGCAUAACAUUGUUUGAAAGGCAUCUUUAAACAAUCAAAGGAGCAAUCCGCUAUGAGAUGGGCCCGCGGCGCAUUAGCUAGUUGGUGAGGUAACGGCUCACCAAGGCGACGAUGCGUAGCCGACCUGAGAGGGUGAUCGGCCACAUCGGAACUGAGACACGGUCCAGACUCCUACGGGAGGCAGCAGUGGGGAAUAUUGCACAAUGGGGGAAACCCUGAUGCAGCAACGCCGCGUGAGUGAUGAAGGUCUUCGGAUUGUAAAGCUCUGUCUUUAGGGACGAUAAUGACGGUACCUAAGGAGGAAGCCACGGCUAACUACGUGCCAGCAGCCGCGGUAAUACGUAGGUGGCAAGCGUUAUCCGGAUUUACUGGGCGUAAAGGGAGCGUAGGCGGAUAUUUAAGUGGGAUGUGAAAUACCCGAGCUUAACUUGGGAGCUGCAUUCCAAACUGGAUAUCUAGAGUGCAGGAGAGGAGAAUGGAAUUCCUAGUGUAGCGGUGAAAUGCGUAGAGAUUAGGAAGAAACACCAGUGGCGAAGGCGAUUCUCUGGACUGUACUGACGCUGAGGCUCGAAAGCGUGGGGAGCAAACAGGAUUAGAUACCCCUGGGUAGUCCACGCUGUAAACGAUGAAA